rnacentral:rRNA from 1 species
AGCGAACGCUGGCGGCAGGCUUAACACAUGCAAGUCGAACGGGCGUAGCAAUACGUCAGUGGCAGACGGGUGAGUAACGCGUGGGAACGUACCUUUUGGUUCGGAACAACACAGGGAAACUUGUGCUAAUACCGGAUAAGCCCUUACGGGGAAAGAUUUAUCGCCGAAAGAUCGGCCCGCGUCUGAUUAGCUAGUUGGUGGGGUAAAGGCCCACCAAGGCGACGAUCAGUAGCUGGUCUGAGAGGAUGAUCAGCCACAUUGGGACUGAGACACGGCCCAAACUCCUACGGGAGGCAGCAGUGGGGAAUAUUGGACAAUGGGCGCAAGCCUGAUCCAGCCAUGCCGCGUGAGUGAUGAAGGCCUAGGUUGUAAAGCUCUUUUGUUACGGGAAGAUAAUGACGGUACCGUAAGAAUAAGACCCCGGCCUAACUUCGUGCCAGCAGCCGCGGUAAU